GGGUUGUAAACCUCUUUCAGCAGGGACGAAGCGAGAGUGACGGUACCUGCAGAAGAAGCACCGGCUAACUACGUGCCAGCAGCCGCGGUAAUACGUAGGGUGCGAGCGUUGUCCGGAAUUACUGGGCGUAAAGAGUUCGUAGGCGGUUUGUCACGUCGUUUGUGAAAACUCACAGCUCAACUGUGAGCCUGCAGGCGAUACGGGCAGACUUGAGUACUGCAGGGGAGACUGGAAUUCCUGGUGUAGCGGUGAAAUGCGCAGAUAUCAGGAGGAACACCGGUGGCGAAGGCGGGUCUCUGGGCAGUAACUGACGCUGAGGAACGAAAGCGUGGGUAGCAAACAGGAUUAGAUACCCUGGUAGUCCACGCCGUAAACGGUGGGCGCUAGGUGUGGGUUCCUUCCACGGGAUCUGUGCCGUAGCUAACGCAUUAAGCGCCCCGC
rnacentral:rRNA from 1 species